rnacentral:rRNA from 1 species
CUACGGGACGCUGCAGUGAGGAAUAUUGCACAAUGGGGGGAACCCUGAUGCAGCAACGCCGCGUGGAGGAUGGCGCAUUUCGGUGUGUAAACUCCUUUUAUAUGUCAAGAAAAUGACGGUAGCAUAUGAAUAAGCACCGGCUAACUCCGUGCCAGCAGCCGCGGUAAUACGGAGGGUGCAAGCGUUACUCGGAAUCACUGGGUGUAAAGGACGCGUAGGCGGGUUGGAAAGUCAGGUGUGAAAUCCUACAGCUUAACUGUAGAACUGCACUUGAAACUUCUAAUCUAGAGUAUGGGAGGGGGAGACGGAAUUAGUGGUGUAGGGGUAAAAUCCGUAGAUAUCACUAGGAAUACCUAAAGCGAAGGCGAUCUCCUGGAACAUUACUGACGCUAAGGCGUGAAAGCGUGGGGAGCAAACAGGAUUAGAUACCCCUGUAGUC